GCGUGAGUGAAGAAGGCCUUAGGGUUGUAAAGCUCUUUCACCCGUGACGAUGAUGACGGUAGCGGGAGAAGAAGCCCCGGCCAACUCCGUGCCAGCAGCCGCGGUAAGACGGAGGGGGCUAGCGUUGUUCGGAAUUACUGGGCGUAAAGCGCACGUAGGCGGCGGAUCAAGUUGGGCGUGAAAGGCCCGGGCUCAACCCGGGAACGGCGCUCGAGACUGAUUGGCUGGAGUUCGGGAGAGGUGAGCGGAAUUCCCAGUGUAGAGGUGAAAUUCGU
rnacentral:rRNA from 1 species